rnacentral:rRNA from 1 species
UACGGGGGGGGGCAAGCGUUGUUCGGAAUUACUGGGCGUAAAGGGCUCGUAGGCGGCCCUCUCAGUCGGAUGUGAAAUCCCCAGGCUCAACUUGGGAACGGCAUCCGAUACUGGAGGGCUUGAAUUCGGGAGAGGGAUGCAGAAUUCCAGGUGUAGCGGUGAAAUGCGUAGAUAUCUGGAGGAAUACCGGUGGCGAAGGCGGCAUCCUGGACCGAGAUUGACGCUGAGGAGCGAAAGCUAGGGGAGCAAACAGG